ensembl:lncRNA
UAUUAUUAUUAUUAUUAUUAUUAUUAUUAUUAUUCUUCUGCCCUAAAACUGAUCGUGCAGACCAAACCGUAAGGCCUAGAGACUUGAAAUUUGGCCAGAUUGUAGAGCUCAAUUUGGGGAGAACCUAUCAAACUCUCGACCCAAUCGGCCUAACGGGGGCGCUACAGCGCAAAAAACAAGAAUUUCGGACAUUUUUGGCCCGCAGUCGUAAACCGUUUGUCGUAGACUCAAAAACAUGGCAUCGUUGCAAUCCUUGGGUUUGCCCGAACAAAAGUGUACACUGCCUUUUUUUGCUCUACGGUGCAUCGUUUUCUCGCAAAAUCGAGUUAUAUCUGAAACCUACUUUUGCGAACUAGUCCUAGGAUUUUCACCCGAUCAGAACCAAACCACUGCAGAAAUAUUCUCUGGACACUCAAUAUCAAUAAUUAUCGAAAAAAAGUUGAAAUUUUGAUUCUUACGCGAAACAGUACGCCAAAAAGCAUCUAUGCUAACGUGAACCAAAUGUUAUUUUAGCUAUAACUCUUGAAUGGAAUGAAAUAUCUUAACCAAACUCGGUACACAUGUGUAUAAGCUCAAUUUGUGGUCAAAUAAAAAAAAUUGCGCACCUCUGCCACUUGGGGGCGCUAUAAGACAGAAAAAACACAUAAAUGGCUAUAACUAGGCAACCGUUGGUCCGAUCGACUUGAAAAUUGGUAUGCAGUUUCUUUGUCUGAAGGGGCACAAAUAUCUAUGAGGACAUUGGCGUAUCUCAAAAAACAUAGCCGCCAUUGGCCAAUGAAGUUUGAGCUAUUAUUAGACAAGGUUAACGGAGGUCAAUCAGGACGAAACUUGGUAGGCAUGUUCGACUCAUGGCCCUAAAGGUCUGUAAGAAUUUUGAAAGAAAUCGGCCACUAGUUGGCGCUAACGAGUUUUUUGGCUCUGUAAUCACGUGGUGUUUCACAUAUGCAUGCAAUAUGGAUAUCAUUUGAUAGAUCUCCUCAUAAUGCACAACUUUGCCUCAAGAACCAUUACUGUCAGUCAAAUCGUUCAUGAAUUAUUCACAAAUAUGUUUAAAAACAUACUUUUGCGAACUACUCCUAGGUUUUUCGCCCGAUCGGAACCAAACAACUGCUGUAAUAUUCUGUGGACUCUCUAGAUCAAUAAUUAUCGAAAAAAUCUUGAAUUUUGUUCUUUGUUUAGCUUUAAAGGGGUAAUUUAGAAAAGGGGAUUGGCCAAACAUACCCCAAAGCCUAUAAAGCCAAAACAAAUAGUCAAAACUUUAUGAAACUUGGUGAAAACAUGUGGCAGAUGACUCUGAACAAGCAUGCAAAGAUUCAUGGAGAUCGGACCAUAGGUGGCGCUAUAACAGUACAAAAGGUCUCAAAAACACAAAUUUUAUAUGGUAAAUGGCCUCAAAUUGGUUGAAAAUGCUCAUUUAUUCGCACAAACACGAGAUCUUCAUAUCGUAUGAUAGAUAUCCUCAUUCUGAACAACUUUGCCUCUGGGACCAAUGUUGUCAAUAAAACUGUUAAUUAAAUAUUAUAUAAAAUAAAUGAAAUAAGCUAAUUAACAAACUAGUUCAAGGUUUUAAGCUGAAAAUCAAUUAAACCACUUCAGUAGAAUUCUCUAGCUAAUCUAGGUCAAUAUUUAUCAAAAAAAAUGUUGAACAUUUGCAUUUGGACAACUAUAAACUGGUCAUUUUCUGAUAUGUUCUUUAUGUAGUGUAACCAAAGGCCUACUAAUACAAACAGAAAGCCCACAAAUUCUCAAGACUGUGUAAAAUAAUGCAUAAUUUCAUUCUAAACAAGCAUGCAAAAUUUAAGAGAGAUUGGGCAAAAAAUAUCACUCUAAUGGUUAAAAAGGUUAAAAACACAGUGUGUAUGUGUGUCUACGUGAAUAUGCUUAUAGAGUAUUAAUAUAAAAGUUUAAUCAUUUAAUUUCAGUGUGUGUAUGUGUGUUGUGUGUCUGUGAGCCUAUUCUCCAUUUUGGAUGUGUUUAACUGUCAGCCAUACAUCAAGGUUGGCCAAGACCACCUCAAAGGCCUUAAAGUGCUUGAACCCCG